GUUUAGGGGUAAACCUGAGAAACCCGAAAGGUCGAAGGGAGAAAUUCAUCGCGUUUCGACGCAGGAGGCGUGCGGUCGAGCGACGGUUGGCGUUCGCGUCCGCCGCGACUUCCGCUCGUCGAACCGGCGACGAACGCGUGCACUUUUCUCCUGGUAGGACGUCGCGAUCCGUCGGGUGUCGGUCUAAGGCUCGCGGUGGAGCCCGACGACGCGUUCGCGUGUCGUCGGACCCGUGUGUCCCGGCCGACUCGCUCGACGGUAUAAGAAUGGUCACGGGCCGCUCUCGUAGCGUUCGGCUCGCGGCAAGCGCGUCAGGAUCGUCGACUAUCGGACCUGGUGCCGGUUUCGACCCCUGGCGACUGUUGGCCGCGAAGUCCUCGAACAGACCCGUAUUCGAGACCGAUCCGCGACGCUAUAGCUUUGGGUACUUUCAGGACCCGUCUUGAAACACGGACCAAGGAGUCUAGCAUGUGCGCGAGUCAUUGGGAAUCACUAAACCUAAAGGCGCAAUGAAAGUGAAKGUUCUCCUUGCGAGGACCGAGGGAAGACGGGCGACGUCGAGCCGUUAAAAGCGGUCGCUCCGCAUUCCCGGGGCGUCUCGUUCUCAUCGCGAGAAGAGGCGCACCAAGAGCGUACACGCUGGGACCCGAAAGAUGGUGAACUAUGCCUGGUCAGGACGAAGUCAGGGGAAACCCUGAUGGAGGUCCGUAGCGAUUCUGACGUGCAAAUCGAUCGUCGGAACUGGGUAUAGGGGCGAAAGACUAAUCGAACCAUC
rnacentral:rRNA from 1 species